rnacentral:rRNA from 1 species
AACGAACGCUGGCGGCAUGCCUAACACAUGCAAGUCGAACGAGACCUUCGGGUCUAGUGGCGCACGGGUGCGUAACGCGUGGGAACCUGCUCUUAGGUUCGGAAUAACUCCCCGAAAGGGGUGCUAAUACCGGAUAAUGUCUUCGGACCAAAGAUUUAUCGCCUUUGGAUGGGCCCGCGUUGGAUUAGCUAGUUGGUAGGGUAAAAGCCUACCAAGGCGACGAUCCAUAGCUGGUCUGAGAGGAUGAUCAGCCACACUGGGACUGAGACACGGCCCAGACUCCUACGGGAGGCAGCAGUGGGGAAUAUUGGACAAUGGGCGAAAGCCUGAUCCAGCAAUGCCGCGUGAGUGAUGAAGGCCUUAGGGUUGUAAAGCUCUUUUACCCGGGAUGAUAAUGACAGUACCGGGAGAAUAAGCGCCGGCUAACUCCGUG